rnacentral:lncRNA from 1 species
UUCACUAUACUGGUUAGCAACCCAUUCUUCACGGUCCCAUUAGCCAUGAAUUCAACAAGUUCAUUUCUAGCCAAUCUUCCAUCCAUUUGAAGGACCAUGUCCUUCUAUCCUUAUGCCUCCAAUGAAGUAAAAAAUCUUACCAUGCCUGGAUCCUCCAGGUCUUUGAGCAAUCUACCUUUCAGAAUUUUUCUUUUUCCAAAAUUGGCAAACCUAUCUUGUUCCUGUUCCGACUCUUCUUCUCCUUCUUCUCCACU